rnacentral:tRNA from 1 species
CAGAGAAUAGUUUAUUUAAAAUAUUAAUUUUGGAGAUUAAAGAUAUUAUUUGUUUUUCUGA